GUUUUUGAGGGAUCUAAGGUGGGUUAUUUUGGUAGUUGUUUGUUGUUCUGUUUUGUGUUUUUAUGUGGAUCAUUUCGGUGCAAAGAUGGAGAAGAACCGGCUGCAUGCAGGCUGGCAACUUCUGUCCAGUUGCGAUGUAAAGGGAGUAGACAUUCCAAGGGUUGAAAGUGCUGGCUGAAUGGGUGCUGCUGCCCUCUGGCUACAAGAGACUGAGAGGCCAUUAUAGGCUCUACUUCCUCCUAAAAUCUAUUUCUUUUUCCAUUUGCAGAUGUUCGUUUGAGUCCUCAUGUUUCUUCAGCCCCAUGGCCUGUUCUCUUCUGGUUUUCUUUUGGCUACUUUGCUAUUCUCAGUGUACUGUGAUUGCAAGUGGUUCAUUUGAUCUUGAAGCAGUCGGUGUUGCCACCUAAAGAAGUAAGAAUUCAUGGCGCGGACGACUCCAAGGCAGUGGCGCUAGUAUUUGGAGAAGAUGAGUCCUGCGGUUUCGGUUUCUCUACCCGGUUCGGUUAGAGUUUCUGUAAGGGUAUGGGUUUUGGUCUUAGAAAUGGGCUGAUCUUGAAAAUGCUAGAUGAGCUUUUAGCUAGAUUUCGG
rnacentral:misc_RNA from 1 species